rnacentral:rRNA from 1 species
CCAGACUCCUACGGGAGGCAGCAGUGGGGGAUAUUGGACAAUGGGGGAAACCCUGAUCCAGCGACGCCGCGUGAGUGAAGAAGUAUUUCGGUAUGUAAAGCUCUGUCAGCAGGGAAGAAAGAAAUGACGGUACCUGACCAAGAAGCCCCGGCUAACUACGUACCAGCAGCCGCGGUAAUACGUAGGGGGCAAGCGUUAUCCGGAAUUACUGGGUGUAAAGGGAGCGCAGGCGGCACGGCAAGCCUGAUGUGAAAGCCCGCGGCCCAACCGCGGGACUGCAUUGGGAACUACCGGGCUGGAGUGCCGGAGAGGUAGGCGGAAUUCCUAGUGUAGCGGUGAAAUGCGUAGAUAUUAGGAGGAACACCAGUGGCGAAGGCGGCCUACUGGACGGUGACUGACGCUGAGGCUCGAAAGCGUGGGGAGCAAACAGGAUUAGAUACCCUAGUAGAG